CGGAGGUUGCAGUGAGCCGCGAUCGUGCCACUACUCUCCAGCCUGGGUAACAGAGUGAGACUUCAUCUAAAAAAAAAACUUAUACUUACUAGAGCCCAAAAAGGCAUUCUUCUAUGUCCCCUCUGCUCCCCAGGUUCCAUCUUAGCCCACAUCCAGAAGCAAAAGCACUUCAAUGAGCGAGAAGCCAGCCGAGUGGUGCGGGACGUUGCUGCUGCCCUUGACUUCCUGCAUACCAAAGGCAUUGCUCAUCGUGAUCUGAAACCAGAAAAUAUAUUGUGUGAAUCUCCAGAAAAGGUGUCUCCAGUGAAAAUCUGUGACUUUGACUUGGGCAGUGGGAUGAAACUGAACAACUCCUGUACCCCCAUAACCACACCAGAGCUGACCACCCCAUGUGGCUCUGCAGAAUACAUGGCCCCUGAGGUAGUGGAGGUCUUCACGGACCAGGCCACAUUCUACGACAAGCGCUGUGACCUGUGGAGCCUGGGCGUGGUCCUCUACAUCAUGCUGAGUGGCUACCCGCCCUUCGUGGGUCACUGCGGGGCUGACUGUGGCUGGGACCGGGGCGAGGUCUGCAGGGUGUGCCAGAACAAGCUGUUUGAAAGCAUCCAGGAAGGCAAGUAUGAGUUUCCUGACAAGGACUGGGCACACAUCUCCAGUGAGGCCAAAGACCUCAUCUCCAAGCUCCUGGUGCGAGAUGCAAAGCAGAGACUUAGCGCCGCCCAAGUUCUGCAGCACCCAUGGGUGCAGGGGGAACAGCAGCACAAUGGACCUGACACUCUUCGCAGCUGAGGCCAU
rnacentral:sRNA from 1 species